CUCCAGACUCCUACGGGAGGCAGCAGUGGGGAAUAUUGCACAAUGGGGGAAACCCUGAUGCAGCGACGCCGCGUGAGUGAAGAAGUAAUUCGUUAUGUAAAGCUCUAUCAGCAGGGAAGAAAAUGACGGUACCUGAGUAAGAAGCCCCGGCUAACUACGUGCCAGCAGCCGCGGUAAUACGUAGGGGGCAAGCGUUAUCCGGAUUUACUGGGUGUAAAGGGAGCGUAGACGGCAGUGCAAGUCUGGAGUGAAAGGCGGGGGCUCAACCCCGGGACUGCAUUUGGAACUGUGUGGCUGGAGUGUCGGAGACGCAAGUGGAAUUCCUAGUGUAGCGGUGAAAUGCGUAGAUAUUAGGAGGAACACCAGUGGCGAAGGCGGCUUGCUGGACGAUGACUGACGUUGAGGCUCGAAAGCGUGGGGAGCAAACAGGAUUAGAUACCCGGGUACA
rnacentral:rRNA from 1 species